rnacentral:lncRNA from 1 species
ACGUGCUGCGCUCGGCGCUGGGCGCGGCGCUCUGGGGGCUGGGCCUGGGGCUGUGGGUGGGGCUCUUCCAGAGCCGCCGCAGCCAAUGGGGAGCCCUGGGCGACGCCCUCAGCUUCACCCAGCCAAUGGGAGAGCCCUGAGCCGCAGAGAGGAGCGAUGACGUCACCCCCAGCCCUCGGAAGCCCCGCCCCCUUUCCCAAAUAAAGGCGCUGGCCACGCCCACGCCCAAAGAUGGCUUUAUUGGGGAGGGGGCGGGGCCGGGGGUGUGGCCAUGAUGGGUGUGGUCAAUGUGGGUGUGGUCGGGGUGGGCGUGGCCAUGGGGUGUGGGUGUGGUCGGGAUGGGCGUGGCCACAAUGUGGUCAAUGGGGCUCUUUUCGGGGUGGGCGUGGCCAAUGUGGGUCUUUUCAGGGUGGGCGUGGCCACGAUGGGAGUGGUUAAUGUGGGUCUGUGGUGGGCGUGGCCAAUGGGGGCGUGGCUCUUUUUAGGGUGGGCGUGGCUACGAUGGGCGUGGCCAACGGUCUGUUUGUAGUGGGGGUGGUCAAUGUGGGCGUGGCUCUUUUUGGGAUGGGCGUGGCCAAUGUGGGCGUGGCUCUUUUUUUGAUGGGCGUGGCCAAUGUGGGCGUGGCUCUUCGGGAUGGGCGUGGCCAAUCUGGGAGUGGCUCUUUUAGAGGUGGGCGUGGCCACGAUGGGUGUGGCCAAUCUGGGCGUGGCUCUUCAGAGUGGGCGUGGCUACGAUGGGCGUGGUCGAUGUGGGUCUGUUCAGGGUGGGCGUGGCUCUUUUCAGGGUGGUCGUGGCUGGGAUGGGCGUGGUCAAUCUGGGCGUGGCUUUUCAGGGUGGGCGUGGUCAAUGAGGGCGUGGCUCUCGGGGUAGGCGUGGCUCUUUCCGGGAUGGGCGUGGUCAAUCUGGGCGUGGCUCCCGGGGUGGGCGUGGCCUCACUGGCGCUCGUAGAUGCCGCGCAGCAGGCGCAGGCUGGGCCCGUAGCGCUGCUGCUGCCGCUGCGCCGCCUCCCGCCACCUAACGGGUCAGAAACCGGUACGGACCGGUCAGGAACCGGUAUGGACCGGUCAGGAACCGGUAGGGACCGGUCAGGAACCGGUACGGACCGGUCAGGAACCGGUAUGGACCGGUCAGGAACCGGUAUGGACCGGUCAGGAACCGGCACGGACCGGUCAGGAACCGGUAUGGACCGGUCAGGAACCGGUCAGAAACUGGUAUGGACCGGUCAGGAACCGGCACGGACCGGUCAGGAACCGGUCAGAAACCGGUAUGGACCAGUUAGAAACCGGUAUGGACCGGUCAGAAACCGGUAUGGACCGGUCAGGAACCGGUAUGGACCGGUCAGGAACCGGUAUGGGCCGGUCAGGAACCGGUAUGGACCAGUUAGAGACUGGUUAGAAACCAGUAUGGACCAGUUAGAAACCGGUACAGACCGGUCAGAAACCGGUAUGGGCCGGUCAGAAACCGGUAUGGGCCGGUCAGGAACCGGUAUGGACCGGUUAGAAACCGGUACGGACCUGUUAGAAACCAGUAUGGACCAGUACGGACCAGUUACAAACCAGUAUGGACUGGUCAGAAACCAAUAUGGAUCAGUACGGGCCAGUUAGAAACCAGUACGGGCCAGUUAGAAACCAGUACGGACCGGUUAGAAACCAGUAUGGACCAGUUAGAAACCGGUACGGACCGGUUAGAAACCGGUACGGACCGGUUAGAAACCAGUACGGACCAGUCAGGAACCAGUAUGGACCGGUCAGAAACCGGUACGGACUGGUAGGGACCGGUUAGAAACCAGUAUGGACCGGUCAGAAACCGGUAUGGACCAGUACAGACCGGUUAGAAACCAGUACAGAUUGGUUAGGGACUGGUUAGGGACCGGUAUAGACCAGUAUGGACCGGUUAGAAACAAGUAUGGACCAGUUAGAGACUGGUUAGAAACCAGUAUGGACCAGUACGGACCGGUUAGAAACCAGUAUGGACCAGUUAGAGACUGGUUAGAAACCAGUAUGGACCAGUUAGAGACUGGUUAGAAACCAGUAUGGACCAGUACGGACCGGUACGGACCAGUGACACCCUCCCAGUCCCUCCCAGUACAAACCAGUAUAACCCAGUCCCAUUCUCACCCUUAAAAUCCCCAUUUUUCACCCCAAAAUCCCCCAGAUGUCCCCCCAGUCCCUCCCAGUUCCCUCCCAGUCCCUCCCAGUUCCCUCCCAGUAUAAACCAGUACAAACCAGUCCCUCCCAGUCCCUCCCAGUUC